GGCGUUCGAAGUUGUGUGGGUGCAACUCGCUGCUCCUGAGGGGGGCGGCGGGGACGUCUCCGGUCCCCUCCCACGGCCGCCGGCACACGCGGCAGUGUCCUCGCCGGCGCGACACCUAAGUUCACACCUCCUAAAGCUGAGAUCCAGAGAAGUUAAAUAACUUGUGUGAGAUCACAUGAUUAGUUAUUACCAGAGAAAGUACUCAAAUGGUCUUUUGAGCUUUACAGAUGGUGAGGCCCUAGACGCAGCGGCUUUCUCUGAGCAAGUGGUGAGGCCCAGAAAGACACAUGCCUUUCCCAUAGAAGGAAUGUUUGCUACCUGAAGUAAGCAGAAAGGGCAUACAGAAGUGAGAAGGGAGAGAGAAGAGAAACAAAGGAGCAGAAUGCUAACAUUCCCUGGGUGCCUGCCACAGAGAAAGAAGGAAAGAAGGACCAAAUAUGGAAUUGGACUUCAUUUCCAAGCGUGAACCUUCAUCACUUUCAUCAGUAGCCAUCUGGCAUGCAGUGUUCUGUGGCAUUUCUCUAAAAUGACUGGCAACCUCCAACAGUUUCCUUGGCACUGCUGCUGAGAAGCCUCAGUUCUUAGCAAUGUGCUAGAAAUAGUCACAGCUCAACACAGGCAGCUCUGCUCUUCCCUAAGUUGAAGUCUGCCAGCUAGAAGACAAUCAGAAGAGGGGUAUGUGGAGAGACAGAGGCACAGAACUUGAGGGUUAUCAAGACUGACAUUAAUUCAGAAGUCCCUUAGAAGCCAUAUACACUUCUAGUAGGGCUGGCUUCUGCUUCACCUCCAUGCUUCAGGGCUCUAAAGUUGAUCAACCCUGGAAUUUACAGAAUGGAGUAGGUGUCUCUGCAGGAAAAUGGAAGAGAUAGAAAACCACAUCAAACAAUGUUCAUUGGUGUACCCAUCUCCAUGCAAGUUUGGUAAGGGGAGACAAAAGAAGAAAUUCUAGUGUUUGAUGCCAUCAUCAUCAUCAUCAUCAUCAUCCCAAACAUUUAUUAAAGACCUUGGCCAGUCAUCUGAGAUAUCACCUCACUGGCAAGACUACAUGGCACUUAGACCACACUGCUUAAUGGACUCCUGUGAGAGGAAAGGGGUUGGCUCAUCAAGCAAGAUGGUCUCUCUGAAUCAGGCUUUAAAGUCUGCUGAGAUGACAAGUGACAAGUGAACCUGCUUGAUGAAUAUUUGGUGAUUGUCUGAUGAUGGAGAAUGAAGGAAGGAUUGGGAAUAAAGGAGUUGACAACUGCUCUGAAGUACUAGAUCUGCUUGGUGCAAGUGCGAAAGAGACCACAGAUGGAAGCUCACAGAUGGAAGCCUGCUGAUCAUACAGCUGUUUCUUUGUUGCUACAUGUUCCUGAGAGGUCUCCCCAGCUAAUUCCACGUAUAGAAGGAAGACAGAUAAAGGUCCCACUGAUCUUCCCGGGAAGGAAAUGGACAGCUGUCACACUCUGGCCCACUAAGCAUUGGUUGCCAACUGGGAAAGUCAUCAGAAAACUUCCUUGAAAUGGUCAUUGGAUGAGAGCUCAGCGUCCGAGAAGUUAAGUGACUCGCUCAAGGGGCUAGAGAGAGAAGUUGGUCUCCCGUUCAGAAGCAUUCCUAAAGAGAUCCUGUUCACCACCGAGGACGACUGUCGUGCGGUAGAUGGGGAGAGCAACGAAAAGGGAAAGAAAGACAACUUUGCACCAUCGUGCUGCAGACAUGACGUGUAACUCCACACCAGGGGCCCUCCCGCAGGGGCGCUGGAAGGAUGUUCUCGUUACCCGAGGCGCAAGACCCUGCCAUUGUCUUUGCCUGCUGUGCCUGAGGAACCUCCCGGGUGCAAGCCAGGGAGCUGUGCGGUGUGGCAGCAAGGGUGUCCCGUCAUCGGAAAGGCGGAAGGCGCUAUGGAAAUGAAGGUAAUUUGGACCCGUCAACUCAAGUUACAGGGAGCAGAAACAAAAGUCAAAUCAAACGUUAUUGUUUCCUUGCCACUGCUGAGUACAACCAAGCAUAUGGAAGGCUGGAAUUCUCACUAGCCAAAAAAGAAAAAGAAGGAAAAAUAUGAUCCCAUCAGAAGAGAUCUGAUCUUCUCAUUGUAAAAAAUAAAAAAUAAAAAAAAAUUGUUUUGCAGGGUUGGAGCAAAAUCUGUUAAAGAGAGACAACUUGGGCAUAUUUGUUCAAAGUGCCACUCGCCAGAGAAACCUUGUUCAAGAUAGAUCAGUUGUUUCUUUCUGGCUUAAAAUGUCUGGAAAAGUCCAGGUUUUAACAGAGCUUCAAAGCAAAAGCGUGAUUUAGUGAUCCAGGCCGACAGGGGAAUGUAGACGUUUGUCUUCACAGUGAUUCAUCUCUUAUUCACGGGGAAAUUUGGACAAUUUUCUUAAUCUUCACAGGCCUGUAUUUUUUUUUUUUCAUUCUGGCAAAUGACUUGCAGUGGUUCAUAAAGGGGGACUGCAGAAGGUGAGGAGUUAAGGAGUCCCAAGGCCUUGACCCAUAUCUGUCACGACCGUUAAGGCAAGUUGAUCACUAAUAAUUUCUGAGGCUCGAUUUCAUCAAAGAUCAAAUGAGGGAUCUGAAUGCAGAACAUUCAGGCUGCUUUGCGGUUCUGAAAGUUCGGUUCUUUGAUUGAUUGAUUGAUUUUAAAGAUUUUGUUUAUUCAUGAGAGACACAGAGAGGCAGGGACCCAGGCAGAGGGAGUCUGAUGCGGGACUCAGUCCCAGGACCCUGGGGAUUCUGUGUGAGACUCACAUCUUUCAGGGCCCUGCUUGCACCAAGCAGUUCUGACAGCGUUUCAUAUUUAGGCAGGGGUUUUCAUUUCUUCCUUGAGUAUACCAUAAAGAAUCCUUGUGAAAGCCAUCUGGGGUGCGGGGGGCAGUCGGCUUUGUUUAAAAAAUGGUUAACUUGUGUUUAAAUCUUAGUCUCGGCGGGGAGAGCCACUAAUGUCCAGUUUGGACAUCGGGCUCCCUCUUCUGCGAGCGGAUCAUGAGUAAGCAGGUUAAGGAGUAACAUCAGGCUAACACCAUACUCUGUAGAGCUCAGCACGGACACCCAGGCUCACACUGACUCACUUGGAACUGCUCUGUCAGACAUGGUUCUAAGCAUCUCUUUUAUAAAUAACAUCUCAUUGAAUCUCACAAUGGCCGAUGAGAGAGGUGACUAAAAAGUGCCAAGGGGGAAGAUUCCCUAACCCGUUCUAGUGGACAGAUGAAUGCUCUGGAGCCUUCUGGAAUGCUCCAUCUUUGCCAGGAGUUGAAACCCCGUGGGCCUCUCACAUCCAGGCCUUGCAACAGAUGAGAACACUGAAGCAAAGAACGAGAAUGGCAAGAAAAGGAAAAUAGCAGGAAGAAGCAGGAAGAACCAGAUCCUAAAAAGAGAGUUGGGGGGAGUCCCUGUUAGAAUUAAUGUCCUUAUUUAUAACGAAGGGAGGCAGAGGAUGAUUGUGAUGGUUCAUUUUGUGUAUCAACUAGACUGAACUACAGGAUGCCCAGAUGUUUGGCCAGGCAUUAUUUCCGAGCGUCUGUGUUUCUGGAAGAAGUUAGCGUUUCAAUCAGUAGACAGUGGAGUGCGUCGCCAUCCCCAGUAUGGAUGGGCAUCACCCAGUUCAUAGGUCAAUAGACAAAAAGGUGAAGGAAAGCAGGAUUCACCCCUGCCUGCCUGUUUACUUGAGCUGAGACAUCAGCCUUUUCCUGAGAUUUACGCCAUCAGCUCCCCUGGUUCUUAGACAUUCAGACUCGGACUGGAAUCAGCCCACUGGCCUUCUCGGGUCCCCAGCUUGCGGAUGGCAGGUUGUGGGGCUUUUUCAGCCCUCACGAUCUGUGACCCAAUGUCUUUUUUUUGUUGUUGUUGUUUAUUUAUUUAUGAUAGUCACAGAGAGAGAAAGAGAGAGAGGCAGAGACACAGGCAGAGGGAGAAGCAGGCUCCAUGCCCCGGAAGCCCGAUGCGGGACUCGAUCCCGGGUCUCCAGGAUCGCACCCUGGGCCAAAGGCAGGCGCCAAACCGCUGCGCCACCCAGGGAUCCCUGUGACCCAAUGUCUUAAGUAAUCCAUCCCUCUCUGUUCUGUUGUUGCUUCUGUUUCUCUGGAGAAUUCUGACUAAUACAAUAGUAAGAAUGUUCCCAAGCAAAAAAUAACAUUCAGUAAAAAUGAAAGCAGAGACUUUGGAAAAAUCCGAGUUUAGAAAAUAUAAACAGAUGUGUUGUUGGAGUAAGUAAAGGACGUACAAAUGAGAAGUGAAGUGAAAGAAUGUCUUACCUUUAAAAUGUGCUCUUUUUCAGCUUCUUAAUACACACAUAAUCAAAAACAACGGCAACAAAACACCCAAAGCAUUUUUCUUCUGAGAUUUUUCAUUCUUCAAGUGUGCUAGAAAAUCAAACGCUUUUUAGUUUGAUUUUUUUUUAAAAAAACUUUCUUCAACAAGAAAAAGGAAACUUUUAGUUUGUAAAAAGAUUGAACUAUUAGAGAAAUGUAUGAAUUUGUUUUCAAAUGCAUUUAUUAAACUAGAAUUGCCUUCUCAUGUACCCACAUGAGAUUUUUUUGAAUUUUAAAUUCAGUUAGCCAACAUACAGAGAGCUUCGUUAGUUUCAGAGGUGGAGUUCAGUAAUUUAUUAGUUGCGUAUAACUCCCAGUGCUCAUCACAUCACAUGCCCUCCUUAGUGGCCGCCACCCAGAUACCCCAUGCCCCACCCCUUCCCCUCCAGCAGCAGUUUCCUUCCCAUAGUUAAGAGUCUCUCAUGGUUUGUCUCCCUCUCAUAUCUCUUCCCAUUCUGUUUUUCCCAUCCUUACCCACAGACUUUUUAUUCUAGGCAUGGCUUUUGGAUGGAAAGAACAUGAAUGUUCUGAAGCUUCCGUCUAGAGUGUGGCUGGGUGAAGCAAAGCACUGUGCAUCCUCUCUGAGGCCUGCAUUGCAGUGUACCUCAGAAGUACAUGCAGUCAUUUCUUUUUUUUUUUUUCCAUGCAGUCAUUUCUAAAACAUUCUUAUUAAAGCAUUAUUUACCAUCAAAUUCACUCAUCACACAUGUACAGUUCAAUAAUUUUUUUUUUAGCCCCAGCACAAGGUUUGGGCUUGUGAGCUUGAGAUCAAGACCUGAGCUGAAUUCAAGAGUCAGACACUUAACCACCUGAGCCACCCAGGUGCCCCACAAUUCAGUAAUUCUCAGGAACCAUAUAAAGAGUUGUGCAACAGACCCUCCAAUCCAGCUUUAGAACAUUUCCACUAACCAGAAAGUUCCCUCAUGCCAUUUCCCAAUCACUCCCAGCUUGCAUCCCUUGCCCCCGGUACCCCUGACUCUUUCUUUCUCGAUAGAUGGGUGUCUCAUUUGAUUAAGCAUCUGACUCUUGGUUUCGGUUCAGGUCACAGUCUCAGGGCUCCAUGCUCAGCAGGUGUCUGCUUGAGAUACUCCUCUCUCUCCCUCUGCCCCUGCUUAUCCUAUAAAUUCAU